CCUACGGGUGACAGCAGUGAGGAAUAUUGGUCAAUGGGCGCGAGCCUGAACCAGCCAAGUCGCGUGAGGGAAGACGGUCCUAUGGAUUGUAAACUUCUUUUGUCGGGGAGCAAAAGACGCCACGCGUGGCGUUCCGCGAGUACCUGAAGAAAAAGCAUCGGCUAACUCCGUGCCAGCAGCCGCGGUAAUACGGAGGAUGCGAGCGUUAUCCGGAUUUAUUGGGUUUAAAGGGUGCGCAGGGGGAAGAUCAAGUCAGCGGUAAAAUUGAGAGGCUCAACCUCUUCGAGCCGUUGAAACUGGUUUUCUUGAGUGAGUGAGAAGUAUGCGGAAUUCGUGGUGUAGCGGUGAAAUGCAUAGAUAUCACGCAGAACUCCGAUUGCGAAGGCAGCAUACCGGCGCUCAACUGACGCUCAUGCACGAAAGUGUGGGUAUCGAACAGGAUUAGAUACCCUUGUAGUC
rnacentral:rRNA from 1 species